ACGGGUGAGUAACGCGUGGGAAUCUACCCAUCCCUACGGAAUAACGCAUGGAAACGUGUGCUAAUACCGUAUACGCCCUACGGGGGAAAGAUUUAUCGGGGAUGGAUGAGCCCGCGUUGGAUUAGCUAGUUGGUGGGGUAAAGGCCUACCAAGGCGACGAUCCAUAGCUGGUCUGAGAGGAUGAUCAGCCACAUUGGGACUGAGACACGGCCCAAACUCCUGCGGGAGGCAGCAGUGGGGAAUAUUGGACAAUGGGCGCAAGCCUGAUCCAGCCAUGCCGCGUGAGUGAUGAAGGCCUUAGGGUUGUAAAGCUCUUUCACCGGAGAAGAUAAUGACGGUAUCCGGAGAAGAAGCCCCGGCUAACUUCGUGCCAGCAGCCGCGGUAAUACGAAGGGGGCUAGCGUUGUUCGGAAUUACUGGGCGUAAAGCGCACGUAGGCGGACUUUUAAGUCAGGGGUGAAAUCCCGGGGCUCAACCUCGGAACUGCCUUUGAUACUGGAAGUCUGGAGUAUGGAAGAGGUGAGUGGAAUUCCGAGU
rnacentral:rRNA from 1 species